rnacentral:tRNA from 1 species
CAUUAGAUAGCUAAAAGUAAGCAAUGAAAUUUUAAAUCAUUCAAUAAUAUAGUUACGCAUAUUUCUGAUGA